rnacentral:rRNA from 1 species
CCUACGGGAGGCAGCAGUGGGGGAUAUUGCACAAUGGGGGAAACCCUGAUGCAGCGACGCCGCGUGGGUGAAGAAGCGCCUCGGCGCGUAAAGCCCUGUCAGCAGGGAAGAAAAUGACGGUACCUGAAGAAGAAGCCCCGGCUAACUACGUGCCAGCAGCCGCGGUAAUACGUAGGGGGCAAGCGUUAUCCGGAUUUACUGGGCGUAAAGGGGGCGCUGACGGCGAUGCAAGCCAGGAGUGAAAGCCCGGGGCCCAACCCCGGGACUGCUCGUGGAACUGCGUGGCUAGAGUGCAGGAGGGGCAGGCGGAAUUCCUGGUGUAGCGGUGAAAUGCGUAGAUAUCAGGAGGAACACCGGUGGCGAAGGCGGCCUGCUGGACUGCAACUGACGUUGAGGCCCGAAAGCGUGGGGAGCAAACAGGAUUAGAUACCCUUGUAGUC